UCGGCCCAUGUCAAAUCAUCACCAACCAGGAAACCGGAUUUACUUCUAAGUAAUAUUUUAUUAAGAGCAAUAAAGUAAUUCUUGAUUGC
ensembl:antisense_RNA K08F4.15 ncRNA